CGGCGUGCCUAAUACAUAGCAAGUCGAACGGCGUUUUCUAUGGAAGCUUGCUUCCACUGAGAAGAUAGUGGCGAAACGGGUGAGUAACAACGUGGGUAACCUGGCCCAUAAGAGGGGGAUAACAUCCGGAAACGGGUGCUAAUACCGCAUAGUUUUCUUGAUCGCAUGAUUGAGAAAGGAAGACGGCCUUUGUGCUGUCGCUUAUGGAUGGACCCGCGGCGUAUUAGUUAGUUGGUGAGGUAACGGCUCACCAAGACGAUGAUACGUAGCCGACCUGAGAGGGUGAUCGGCCACAUUGGGACUGAGACACGGCCCAAACUCCUACGGGAGGCAGCAGUAGGGAAUCUUCCGCAAUGGACGAAAGUCUGACGGAGCAACGCCGCGUGAGUGAAGAAAAGGUUUUCGGAUCGUAAAACUCUGUUGUCAGAGAAGAACAAGUUGGAGAGUAACUGCUCCAGCCUUGACGGUAUCUGACCAGAAAGCCACGGCUAACUACGUGCCAGCCGCAGC
rnacentral:rRNA from 1 species